rnacentral:rRNA from 1 species
GACGAACGCUGGCGGCAGGCCUAACACAUGCAAGUCGAGCGCCCCGCGAGGGGAGCGGCGGACGGGUGAGUAACGCGUGGGAAUCUGCCCUUUGGUGUGGGACAACCACGGGAAACUGUGGCUAAUACCGCAUGAGCCCGAGAGGGGAAAGCAGCAAUGCGCCGAAGGAUGAGCCCGCGUCGGAUUAGCUAGUUGGCGGGGUAAUGGCCCACCAAGGCGAUGAUCCGUAGCUGGUCUGAGAGGAUGAUCAGCCACACUGGGACUGAGACACGGCCCAGACUCCUACGGGAGGCAGCAGUGGGGAAUAUUGGACAAUGGGGGAAACCCGUGAUCCAGCCAUGCCGCGUGAGUGAUGAAGGCCUUAGGGUUGUAAAGCUCUUUCGGCGGGGACGAUGAUGACGGUACCCGCAGAAGAAGCCCCGGCUAACUUCGUGCCAGCAGCCGCGGUAAUACGAAGGGGCUAGCGUUGUCCGGAAUUACUGGGCGUAAAGCGCGCGUA